AACGCACAUUGCGCCCGCUGGUAUUCCGGCGGGCAUGCCUGUUCGAGCGUCAUUAUGACCAAUCAAGCUCUGCUUGGCCUUGGAGCCCGCUAUAUUAGCGGCUUUUAAAAUCAGUGGCGGUGCCGUCUGGCUCUAAGCGUAGUAAUACCUCUCGCUAUAGGGUUUAGUCGUUCAUUCUCCAGAACCCCCAACUUUCUUAGGUUGACCUCGGAUCAGGUAGGGAUACCCGCUGAACUUAA
rnacentral:misc_RNA from 1 species